CCAAAGGGUUUCUUCUGUGAGUGGCACACAGUGCUGCUCGCUUGUUUAUGUGUAGAAUCAACAUCAAAAGAUUUUGGAAGCAUACUUUAGUGGCAGUUGGGCAGCUGGUGAUUGUUGAUUCCCCCUCAA